UACGUAGGGGGCGAGCGUUGUCCGGAAUCAUUGGGCGUAAAGAGCGUGUAGGCGGCCCGGUAAGUCGGUUGUGAAAGUCAAGGGCUCAACCCUUGAAUGCCGACCGAUACUGUCGGGCUAGAGUCCGGAAGAGGCGAGUGGAAUUCCUGGUGUAGCGGUGAAAUGCGCAGAUAUCAGGAGGAACACCGAUGGCGAAGGCAGCUCGCUGGGACGGUACUGACGCUGAGACGCGAAAGCGUGGGGAGCAAACAGG
rnacentral:rRNA from 1 species